rnacentral:rRNA from 1 species
UACGAGAGGCCCAAACGUUAUUCGGAAUUACUGGGCUUAAAGAGUUCGUAGGCGGCAUGAAAAGUAGGGUGUGAAAGCCCUCGGCUCAACCGAGGAAUUGCGCUCUAAACUGUCGUGCUCGAGGAAUCUAGAGGUGAGCGGAACUGAUGGUGGAGCGGUGAAAUGCGUUGAUAUCAUCAGGAACACCGGAGGCGAAGGCGGGUCUCUGGGCAGUAACUGACGCUGAGAAGCGAAAGCGUGGGGAGCGAACAGG